rnacentral:rRNA from 1 species
UACGUAGGGUGCGAGCGUUUAUCGGAAUUACUGGGCGUAAAGCGUGCGCAGGCGGUUCGUUAAGUCAGAUGUGAAAGCCCCGGGCUCAACCUGGGAACUGCAUUUGAAACUGGCGGGCUUGAGUGUGGCAGAGGGGGGUGGAAUUCCGCGUGUAGCAGUGAAAUGCGUAGAGAUGCGGAGGAACACCGAUGGCGAAGGCAGCCCCCUGGGCCAACACUGACGCUCAGGCACGAAAGCGUGGGGAGCAAACAGG